rnacentral:lncRNA from 1 species
AUUAUUUUCUUAUGCACAGGCAGGGUAAAAUCUUGUGUUUUACAGGAAGUAUGGCCAUGAAAACAUAUAAGAAAAUAGAGUUUAAAUAUAUUUAAUUCUCUUGGGCUUUUUUGCAUGUGUGUUUUGCCUGCAUGUUUGUGUAUCCUGUGCAUUAUAGGUACAGGACCCAGAAGGGAGCAUAAGGUCCCCCUGAAUUGGAGUUAUGGAUGGAAGGUUGUGAACUACCAGCUGAGAUGAGGUAAAUUGGCUUCCUCAACCAAGUAUUUCUGCCAUUAUUUGCCUCAGGCCAAAACAGCAUGGAAAGUGAACAAAGAAUCUCUGAAACCAUGAGUUAAGGUGUUUCUCAGAGGAAAGGAUCCAGAUAAAGCUGUCUCUUGUGAGACUAUGCCGGGGCCUAGCAAACAGAAGUGGAUGCUCACAG